ensembl:lncRNA
AAAUCUGAGGGUUAAAACAACCCUUAAGUAUAAAUAAUAAACUUUCACAAAUAACUUGUCUAACUUUGUUUGUAGUACAGACAUGAAUGACACUUCAAAUCAUGCAGCCUGUAGAAGUGAAGUGUGUUCUUUACUGUUCUAAGUGAUCAUAAUAAUGAUUUUCACAUGAUGGAUGAUAAAUGUGCAAAAAAUUGUAUAAACUCACACUGAAGGAUCAAUAGAGGUCAGAAUAUUAGAGACUUUUUGAGUUGGAAUGUAUUGUCCUUUGAUGUUUUGACCUUUUAUAUGGGUCAAAAGAAACAAACAAAAAACAACCAUUUAGGACAUGGAGGCAUGUUUCUCAUGAGCAAAAUUUCCACUCACCAAGAUUUCAUAGACCUACUGUAUUAAAAGCUUAUGUAAACUUUCCAAAAUAGCACAUUAAAGUAAAUAAAGAAAGCCCAUCAUCUUCAGCCUCGGUUCUAUGAAUAUAAAGUCCUUGAUUGCACUCUGUGAUUGAAAAUGGGAAUGGAUGAAGGCAAGUUCUUUGUCUUUUAACAGCACGGCUAUGAUGUUGCUCCAUCCCUGAUAACUGAUACCGCCACUAAACCCGACACCAUUGCAGCACUCCAGCGAGAUUUAGCCACAGAACAGCAGAGGAGAGGUAUAUAACGGAUAGUGGAGUACAGUAAGGGAAGACUGUAGCCUGUUGGUUUUGUUUUGGCGUGAAGAUUUUUGUACUAUGCUAAUAAUGUUAAAGGAGGGCGAGCAAGAUCGUUGUACUCAUUCUAGUAGAUUUCUAUUAUCUCCCCUGUGAGUGGAUGUCAGAUACACGUUACUCUUCGAUGUGUGUUGUAGGAUCUUGUGAGAUGAACUGUACUUUGUAUCAUAUGAACUCAGAGAUAUGCACUGCGAUAUUGUGUAACACUACAAAAAUAUUCUACAGAUAAAUUGAAACCAAAAUGGCACGUUUGUCAAAUAAUCAAAAGGAUUUUAUACAAGAAAAAAAUGGCAAAAUGGUAUAAAGGUUGAAGAACAGUGGCAAAUCAUGUGACUUUGGGUUUGUGGUUGCAGGAUUGUCUGAUAUUGCCCUACAAGACCAAUACCAUAAGCCUUUCAGACUAUGUAUAAACACAAAACUAAAGCAGUUAACACAAACACAGCAAAAUUAUGUACAUACUGAAAAAAAAAGACCUGAUAUUAAUUUCAGGAAUUUGUUAUACAAAAUGUAUAUUAUACUUUGUAAGUGCUACACUCUAAUCUUGUAGAAGAAAAAAAAAAUCACAGUAACACUUUAUAAUAACUUUCAUUAAUAAAUCAUUAACAAACAUUAUAUAAUGCUUAAUUGAUCAUUAGUAAAUAAAUGUUCAAAGAGUUAGAAUCGUGAGAUAAUGUGCUUGUUAAUGUUUGCUAAUAAACAUAUUAAACUUUAGCUAAUGUUUAAAGAAAUCAUUAUUUCAUGCUUACAAAUGUCAUUAAACUUUCAAUUCCACAUAAUCAAGCACAUAUUGAAAAUCUAACCAUG